UACGUAGGGGGCAAGCGUUGUCCGGAUUUAUUGGGCGUAAAGAGCGUGUAGGCGGCUUUACAGGUCCGUUGUGAAAACUCGAGGCUCAACCUCGAGACGCCGGUGGAAACCGUAAAGCUAGAGUCCGGAAGAGGAGAGUGGAAUUCCUGGUGUAGCGGUGAAAUGCGCAGAUAUCAGGAAGAACACCCGUGGCGAAGGCGGCUCUCUGGGACAGUACUGACGCUGAGACGCGAAAGCGUGGGGAGCGAACAGG
rnacentral:rRNA from 1 species